rnacentral:rRNA from 1 species
GGAUGAACGCUGGCGGCGUGCUUAACACAUGCAAGUCGAACGGAUCAUUUGUAGCAAUAUGAAUGGUUAGUGGCAAACGGGUGCGUAACACGUGGGUAACCUACCCUAGAGUGGGGAAUAACGACCCGAAAGGGUCGCUAAUACCGCAUAUGCUCGAGAGAGUAAAGUGGCGCGCAAGCGACACGCUUUGGGAUGGACCUGCGUCCCAUCAGGUAGUUGGUGAGGUAAUGGCUCACCAAGCCAAUGACGGGUAGCUGGUCUGAGAGGACGAUCAGCCACACUGGCACUGAGACACGGGCCAGACUCCUACGGGAGGCAGCAGUGAGGAAUAUUGCACAAUGGGCGAAAGCCUGAUGCAGCAACGCCGCGUGCGGGAUGAAGGCCUUCGGGUCGUAAACCGCUUUUCAAGGGGACGAGUGAGGACGGUACCUUUGGAAUAAGUCUCGGCUAACUACGUGCCAGCAGCCGCGGUAAAACGUAGGAGGCUAGCGUUAUCCGGAUUCACUGGGCGUAAAGCGCGUGUAGGUGGCUCGCUAAGUCGAAUGUGAAAGCCCCCGGCUUAACUGGGGGAGGUCAUUUGAUACUGGUGGGCUUGAGGACAAGAGAGGAGAGUGGAAUUCCCGGUGUAGCGGUGGAAUGCGUAGAGAUCGGGAGGAACACCAGUGGCGAAAGCGGCUCUCUGGCUUGUCCCUGACACUGAGACGCGAAAGCGUGGGGAGCAAACGGGAUUAGAUACCCCGGUAGUCCACGCCAUAAACGAUGCAGACUGGGUGUUGGCGCCAUUUGGCGUCAGUGCCGAAGCCAACGCGUUAAGUCUG